AGUGAAAGCACCGCUUCAGCAAUGGACUUCUAUCGCAGUAGAGAAGAAUGUGUGAAACUUCGUGGCUCCAAAGCAACCUCGGAUUUUGCGAGAUGAACGAAUAUUCUAUUCGACUGCUUAGAUUCCAAGAGGCCACAAGAUGUGCAGUAUAAUGAAGCAGAACACAUUGCUACACUGAAGGAGAACAUCGAGUGGCUUGACAGGUGGCACAUUUACAACCAGAGUUUAUCAAAGCAAAAGCAACUCUUCUUUCUGAGCAAGCCAACAUGCAAUGCUCUGAGAAUGACUUUGCACAGCACAGCGACGCUUGUCGAAAAGCUGCUGAAACGUGGCUUUCGCUAUGUUUUAGUUGGAAACUUUGGACAAGACCACCUCGAGAGGUUUUUUGGCAUACCAAGGCAUGGGACAGCCAACGGUUCAGCAAUUUUUGUUCAUUUACCGGUUGCUCUCGAUGAACAACUUGAUCCGUCUGCCACAGCGAGCCUCAGUUGAAGGGGAUGGUCCACGUCUCCUUUUAAAAAUGUAGGAUCUCUUUCAACAUAAAGAACCUACUGUUAAUCAGAUUGAUACCUUGGCAGUUCUUUUUGAUGAUAUACUGCUGGAGCCUGCUGAAUGCAUGCAAGAUAUGAUUCAUCCGGAGUCAACGAGGGACUGCAUUUUGGAUUACCUUGGUGGCUAUAUUGCAAAGAAGUUUGCUAGAAUAAGCUGCAAGGACUGCCUCCAAACACUUAGAAGCAACUCCCGAGAGCCAACUGCAUUGACUGCAAUUAAGACGAGAGGAUUUUUGCAAGUGCCAUCGGAGCAACUAUUGCGUCUCUUGCAAAUUGUGGAGGAACAUGUUGAAAUGCGCACCAUAGGCAAUAUAGCCUGUGCCAAUGUCUACUUGAACAUUGUUGAAAACAUCUUGCUGGACGACCGCACUUCCUCGGCCAGUGUUGGCUGUGGAACACAUUUUGUGAGCACCACGGCAGAAGUUGUGCACUUUUUUAUUAAGUGCCGUCUGCACUUUUUUAUGCGCGAACAAAACAAACUGUUUCGUGCUGGUGGUCGCCCAUCCUGUCCGGCCAGAGGAGGGAGAAAACCAGGGGCAUAAUUUUUUUUUUCAGUGAUCUUUUUUGUGUCAUUAACUCUAUCUCUCAGCUUUUCAUUCACAGUUUCAUCCACGCAGAUUUAAAUAAACUCUAUGUA